UAGGGAAUCUUCCGCAAUGGGCGAAAGCCUGACGGAGCAACGCCGCGUGAGUGAUGAAGGUCUUCGGAUCGUAAAACUCUGUUAUUAGGGAAGAACAAAUGUGUAAGUAACUAUGCACGUCUUGACGGUACCUAAUCAGAAAGCCACGGCUAACUACGUGCCAGCAGCCGCGGUAAUACGUAGGUGGCAAGCGUUAUCCGGAAUUAUUGGGCGUAAAGCGCGCGUAGGCGGUUUUUUAAGUCUGAUGUGAAAGCCCACGGCUCAACCGUGGAGGGUCAUUGGAGACUGGAAAACUUGAGUGCAGAAGAGGAAAGUGGAAUUCCAUGUGUAGCGGUGAAAUGCGCAGAGAUAUGGAGGAACACCAGUGGCGAAGGCGACUUUCUGGUCUGUAACUGACGCUGAUGUGCGAAAGCGGGGGGAUCAAACAGG
rnacentral:rRNA from 1 species